UACGUAGGGUGCAAGCGUUGUCCGGAAUUAUUGGGCGUAAAGAGCUCGUAGGCGGUCUGUCGCGUCUGGUGUGAAAACUCAGGGCUUAACCCUGAGCUUGCAUCGGGUACGGGCAGACUAGAGUGCGGUAGGGGAGACUGGAAUUCCUGGUGUAGCGGUGAAAUGCGCAGAUAUCAGGAGGAACACCGGUGGCGAAGGCGGAUCUCUGGGCCUGUCCUGACGCUCAGGCGCGAAAGCUAGGGGAGCAAACAGG
rnacentral:rRNA from 1 species